rnacentral:rRNA from 1 species
CGUGCUCGAUUAUGGUAGUUGGUGAGGUAACGGCUCACCAAGCCGAUAAUCGAUAGGGGCCGUGAGAGCGGUUGCCCCGAGAUGGGUACUGAGACAGCGACCCAGGCCUUACGAGGCGCAGCAGGCGCGAGACCUCCGCAAUACACGCAAGUGUGACGGGGUUACCCAAAGUGUCCUUAUUGGACUGUGGCGGGUGAGUAAUGUUCCCCGCUAGAAAGGAGAGGGCAAGGCUGGUGCCAGCCGCCGCGGUAAAACCAGCUCUUCAAGUGGUCGGGAUAAUCAUUGGGCUUACAGUGUCCGUAGCCGGUUUAGUAAGUUCCUGGUAAAACCGGGCAGCUUAACUGUCCGUAUGCUAGGAAUACUGCUAUGCUAGAGGGCGGGACAGGUCUGAGGUACUACAGGGUAGGGGUGAAAUCUUAUAAUCCUUGUAGGACCACCAGUGGCGAGAGCGUCAGACUGGAACGCGCCUGACGGUGAGGGACGAAAGCCAGGGGAGCGAACCGGAUUAGAUACCCGGGUAGUCCUGGCCGUAAACGAUGCAUACUAGGCAAUGGUGCGGCCAUGAGCCGCAUCAGUACCGUAGGGAAACCGUUAAGUGUGCCGCCUGGGAAGUACGGUCGCAAGGCUAAAACUUAAAGGAAUUGGCGGGGGAGCACCACAAGGGGUGAAGCCUGCGGUUCAAUUGGACUCAACGCCGGGAAACUUACCAGGGGAGACAGCAGAAUGACAGUCAGGUUGACGACCUUACUCGACGAGCUGAGAGGAGGUGCAUGGCCGUCGCCAGUUCGUGCUGUGAGGUAUCCUGUUAAGUCAGGCAACGAACGAGAUCCGCGCCUUUAUUUGCCAUCAAGAAGUCACGACUUCGUUGGGAACACUAAAGGGACCGCCGUCGAUAAGACGGAGGAAGGAGCGGGCAAAGGCAGGUCAGUAUGCCCCGAAACCCCUGGGCUACACGCGGGCUGCAAUGGUGCGAACAAUGGGCUGUAACUCCGAAAG